ACAACAACAAAAACAAGCAGAGCUAACCCAAUAAAAACAACAGCAACUCCGGAAAAAUAACAACAACAAGUACAGGGAGAGUAAGCUAACUGAUUUUUUUGGAGAGGAUGCCGGUGGCUUAAUCGCCUCCUGAUGCCAGUAGAGAACAACAAAACUGCUUAACAAGGCAGCGACAUACUGGGAUUUGCUUGCGGCAUAAGUUCCAAAGCAAUCCGUUUGGCAUUUAAUGCCCGGCUUCGGGCAUUCGUAUUUCGUUUGUUGGGGUAAUAAAAACAACAACCCAACAAAACAAUAAAAACCAUUGUUGAUAUUGGGAGGCCAUGCCUCCCAUUGGUUUUUCCGCGCUAUUUCUGCCCUAUCGUC
rnacentral:sRNA from 1 species